rnacentral:tRNA from 1 species
GGGGCUGUAGCUCAGCUGGGAGAGCACCUGCUUUGCAAGCAGGGGGUCAGCGGUUCGAUUCCGCUCAGCUCCACCA